GGGGAGAUUCCAGAGUGGCCAAAUGGGGCAGACUGUAAAUCUGUUGGCGUACGCCUUCGGAGGUUCGAAUCCUCCUCUCCCCA
rnacentral:tRNA from 3 species